rnacentral:rRNA from 1 species
UGAGGAAUAUUGGUCAAUGGGCGAGAGCCUGAACCAGCCAAGUAGCGUGAGGGAUGACUGCCCUAUGGGUUGUAAACCUCUUUUGAUUGGGAACAAAGAGCGCCACGUGUGGUGCGUUGCGUGUACCUUUCGAAUAAGCAUCGGCUAAUUCCGUGCCAGCAGCCGCGGUAAUACGGAGGAUGCGAGCGUUAUCCGGAUUUAUUGGGUUUAAAGGGUGCGCAGGCGGCGGAUCAAGUCAGCGGUCAAACUUCGGGGCUCAACCCCGUUUUGCCGUUGAAACUGAUCGGCUGGAGUCUGUUCGAGGGACGCGGAAUGCGAGGUGUAGCGGUGAAAUGCAUAGAUAUCACGCAGAACUCCGAUUGCGAAGGCAGCGUCCCGGGGCGGCACUGACGCUGAGGCACGAAAGUGUGGGUAUCGAACAGGAUUAGAUACCCUGGUAGU